UACGUAGGGUGCAAGCGUUAAUCGGAAUUACUGGGCGUAAAGCGUGCGCAGGCGGUUUUGUAAGUCUGUCGUGAAAUCCCCGGGCUCGACCUGGGAAUGGCGAUGGAGACUGCAAGGCUAGAGUUUGGCAGAGGGGGGUAGAAUUCCACGUGUAGCAGUGAAAUGCGUAGAUAUGUGGAGGAACACCGAUGGCGAAGGCAAUCCCCUGGACCUGUACUGACGCUCAUGCACGAAAGCGUGGGGAGCAAACAGG
rnacentral:rRNA from 1 species